rnacentral:rRNA from 1 species
GACGAACGCUGGCGGCGUGCUUAACACAUGCAAGUCGAACGGAAAGGCCCUGCUUGCAGGGUACUCGAGUGGCGAACGGGUGAGUAACACGUGGGUGAUCUGCCCUGCACUUCGGGAUAAGCAUGGGAAACUGGGUGGAAUACCGGAUAGGAGCCAUUUUUAGUGUGAUGGUUGGAAAGUUUUAUCGGGGUAGGAUGAGACCGAGGCCUAUCAGCUUGUUGGGGGGGUAAUGGCCUACCAAGGCGGCGACGGGUAGCCGGCCUGGGAGGGUGGACGGCCACCUUGGGACUGAGUGACGGCACAGACUCCUACGCGUGGCAGAAGUGGGGAAUAUUGCCCAAUGGGCGCAAGCCUGAUGCAGCGACGCCGCGUGGGGGAUGACGGCCUUCGGGUUGUAAACUCCUUUCGCUAGGGACGAAGCUUUUUGUGACGGUACCUAGAUAAGAAGCAACGGCUAACUACGUG